rnacentral:rRNA from 1 species
CAGUCGCCGCGGUAAUACAGAGGGUGCAAGCGUUAAUCGGAAUUACUGGGCGUAAAGCGCGCGUAGGUGGUUCGCCAAGUUGGAUGUGAAAUCCCCGGGCUCAACCUGGGAACUGCAUCCAAAACUGGCGAGCUAGAGUAUGGUAGAGGGUGGUGGAAUUUCCUGUGUAGCGGUGAAAUGCGUAGAUAUAGGAAGGAACAUCAGUGGCGAAGGCGACCACCUGGACUGAUACUGACACUGAGGUGCGAAAGCGUGGGGAGCAAACAGGAUUAGAUACCCGAGUAGUCCCUGUCUCUUAUAC